AGCACUUUUGUCCCUGCGCGUCAUUCUAACCAUGGAUUGUGGGUCCUGAGGUCUAAACUCUCAGCUGUGAGUACUAAUUUGUGGCAUGAUGGUGAGGUGAAAUGACAGAGGCUCAUGGCACGUCAUUGCAGAAUAUCCACUAGAAUUUCACAAGUCACCAGUCAUGGAUUUCAGGAUCUGACUGCUUGUCAUCUUGGGAGACAUCAGGAUCUGACUGCUUGUCUUCAUGGGAGACUUCAGGUUCUGAGUUCCUGAAUGUAUCCUCCGUCUACAGGAGAGAGGGGGCUCUGGUCCUGACUUGGCUUCCUCCUGUCUUUGCUGAUGGAAGCUGGGUUUUGAUGAGAAACUUCUCCUGGCAUGCUAAGGUCUACUCACAGCAAAUGUAAAGUCUUAGAGGUCGAAGGCCUUGAUAACUGCCUUUCCUGACCUUGCACUGUUUCUAGUGAGUUUAAUUUAAUACAAAGCAAAACAAGUUUGAUGAUAGCCUCUGGCUGACUGCUGGAACCCACCACGC